rnacentral:rRNA from 1 species
CCUACGGGAGGCAGCAGUCGGGAAUAUUGCGCAAUGGAGGAAACUCUGACGCAGUGACGCCGCGUGCAGGAAGAAGGUUUUCGGAUUGUAAACUGCUUUAGACAGGGAAGAAAAAAGACAGUACUUGUAGAAUAAGCUCCGGCUAACUACGUGCCAGCAGCCGCGGUAAUACGUAGGGAGCAAGCGUUAUCCGGAUUUAUUGGGUGUAAAGGGUGCGUAGACGGAGAAGCAAGUUAGCUGUGAAAUCCCUGGGCUUAACUGAGGAACUGCAACUAAAACUACUUCCCUUGAGUGCGGGAGAGGAAAGUGGAAUUCCUGGUGUAGCGGUGAAAUGCGUAGAUAUUAGGAGGAACACCAGUGGCGAAGGCGACUUUCUGGACAGUAACUGACGUUGAGGCACGAAAGUGUGGGGAGCAAACAGGAUUAGAUACCCGUGUAGUC